ACACUUGAGAGGGUAUUUCAGGUGGUCUUGAGUGAUGACUAUGAGAGGGAGCAAAGAAAGUGCGGGAAAACAAGCUUCAAAUGGUGCAGCUUAGUUCAGCAUCAGCAUUUAAAUUUUUUUUUUUAUUUUAUUCCUGGGUAUGCUGGAUCUUCGCUGCUGCUCGGGCUUUUCUCUACUUGUGAUUUCUCAGGAGGCAUGUAAGGUGGUCUGGUAUUCCCAUUGCUUGAAGAGUUUUCUGCAGAUACCAAACAAGUACAUUCAUUUCACAGCUUCCUGGCUUCCUGGGUGUCUGCUGUCAUCUUCACCCAGCGUCAAGCUCUGUGCAAGGCAAGACGACAGGCAUCAGACCGACAGAAGACUGUCCUCAGGAAGCUCUCUGCCCUGACCAGGGAGGGGUUUACACAGGGCAGUGACCGCCCUGGGGCUCAACGGAUACUUCCUCAGAGCUGAUCUCCCUUUGUGCUCAGGCUCAUUUUUUCUGGGUCCCAGACCACCUCUUUGGCUGUCCAGCUGUCCUACAGAGAAAGCUCCUGGGGGGGCGGGGGGGAUUGGUUGCAAACAACCCUGAUGCAAGACAUUUCUCGAGACUGCUCUUCCAGAAUGUAAACACCCUUCCUCACUUCAGGACCAGAGCUCCUGCCAGGACUUUGAAAAACAAGUUACACAAGCACCUUUGGGGUGCUUGGUCAUGCCACAUCACAGGUGCUGCUACUUGGGGAUGUGGGGGAAGGGUGACCUCAAGGACUCAGUCAGGGACAGUGCAUAAAUGCCAGACUCACUGGGCCAAGAGUUCAGGAAAACACAAGCCCUUGGGCACCACAGUAAGACACCGCCUGGGCAAGGAGUCAGUCAUUUAAAGAUCAUUUCAGAGUUGCUUCAUGCCAUCACUGAAACAAUCCCAGGGCUCAGUAGAAGAAUCUGUUAUUAGAGCCGGGUCCCAGGCCAAGGUGGCCCUUCCUUAGAACUGCUCACUGUGAUAUCUUGAAUUUUCUCUCCCCUACAGAGAUCACCUCCCUGACUAUACUCACCCCACCUGUUUAAAAUUUUGGGAGCAGACAGCCUGUCACAAAAACACUUCAC
ensembl:lncRNA